GACGAACGCUGGCGGCGUGCUUAACACAUGCAAGUCGAACGGAAAGGCCCUGCUUUUGUGGGGUGCUCGAGUGGCGAACGGGUGAGUAACACGUGAGUAACCUGCCCUUGACUUUGGGAUAACUUCAGGAAACUGGGGCUAAUACCGUAUAGGAGCUCCUGCUGCAUGGUGGGGGUUGGAAAGUUUCGGCGGUUGGGGAUGGACUCGCGGCUUAUCAGCUUGUUGGUGGGGUAGUGGCUUACCAAGGCUUUGACGGGUAGCCGGCCUGAGAGGGUGACCGGCCACAUUGGGACUGAGAGACGGCCCAGACUCGUACGGGAGGCAGCAGUGGGGAAUAUUGCACAGUGGGCGGAAGCCUGAUGCAGCAACGCCGCGUGCGGGAUGACGGCCUUCGGGUUGUAAACCGCUUUCGCCUGUGACGAAGCGUGAGUGACGGUAAUGGGUAAAGAAGCACCGGCUAACUACGUG
rnacentral:rRNA from 1 species